UUGCUAUGAUGAAAACUCAGUUUAUUGAUGACAUUCAUACUGUGCUUUAUGAUAUUUUGGCAUUCAAGUCGAACCUGAGCACCUGAGCAA